UACAGAGGGUGCAAGCGUUAAUCGGAAUUACUGGGCGUAAAGCGUGCGCAGGCGGUUCGUUAAGUUCGAUGUGAAAGCCCCGGGCUCAACCUGGGAACUGCAUUGGAAACUGGCGAGCUUGAAUGCGGCAGAGGGGGGUGGAAUUCCGCGUGUAGCAGUGAAAUGCGUAGAGAUGCGGAGGAACACCGAUGGCGAAGGCAGCCCCCUGGGCCGACAUUGACGCUCAGGCACGAAAGCGUGGGGAGCAAACAGG
rnacentral:rRNA from 1 species